AUCGGUACACGUAGAUUCCUGCCUAUAACACAUCGAACACUUGUCAACACUUGUAGAGUUUUGUAAAAAAAUGUUAACGCAGCAGAAGAAGAAUUGAUUUUGAGUCAAUUUAAAUUUUCAAAUUUUGAAAUUUGGUAAUUCGGGGAUUUAGAUAUUUACAAUUUAAAAAUAUAGAAAUCUGAGAGUUUGGAAAAUGUAAGAAUGUAACAUUUUCAAAAGUUGUCAAGAUGUACAUCAGUGUUUUCGAAAAUACAAGAUAUUAAAAAUUUGCAAGUUCCUACAUUUGACCCUCCAAAAUGAAAAGCAAGUAGUGGGAGUAUGUUUCCCUAUGUAUAUUCUCAUCCAAAGUAAGCCUACACUCGGCUCGAGUGUAGAAAGAAAAGGGGCUAUUUAUUCCAAGCAUAUCGUGGUCGAAAAGUGCACGCACGAUAGCGUGCAAGGGAGCGAGGCGAGGAACACGGCCAGCUGUUUGUUUUGUUUUCGGGCAUGAGAUUCACGUGACACCACCGGUGCUGGUGGCGGCUCGUACGGCAGCGCCGUAUCAGAGCGUUUGAUUGGUCGAGGCAGUGCACUCGCGCACCGCUGGGCCAAUCGGUAUUCGCGUAAGAAGCGACGUCUGGUGCUUGUACGGUGCAGAGACGUUUGACAUCGAUAAAUGCGUGAGAGUGCUCGCGAAGUGCGGAGGUAUCAGGCUGUCGCUCGCUCGUCGGCUUGUCGUAGUCGUCGUCGUCGUCGUCGGGGGCUCGUGGGCUCGUCGUCGUCGGUCAGUUGGUGUCUCCUUUUCUUUGUCCUAGCCCCCCACUUCGCGGAAAGUCUGUGCAAUAGUAGUGUUAGGCAGUGCCGAUCCCACAGUGACCGUCUUUCUUUACGUCGUCGCUCAGCUGCGCCUACUUUCGUGUGCGAGCGAACGUAUCCGGCGUGCCAAAUGUCACUAGGUGGACGAUAGGGUCGAAAUACACUCGAUCCUCGACGUCGUACAUACGCACGCGUUUUACCAGUGCAUGUAUACAACGUAGAGGUAUCGGAGCGUUGUCAGUAACGUGGCUCACACUCGUUUUAAGGCUGCAUCGCGUAUUGCGUAUCACUGCUCUCGUACAACGUCCUAUGCACGCGUAUGCACCACCGUUCGAGAACCACACUCGUUGCCGAUCACGUACACGCGUUAUAACCCGUGCUCAUAGGCGUGUUUGUGCGGUGUAUAACGUGCAUGUGUACUGAAAGUCGCGAGCGAUCCAAGGGAGCGCCUUUACGUGUGUUCAUCGUGAACGGGAAACCAGUACGAAUGUAACGCGAGUUUCUAGAAGAUUUUGCCGUGUGUUCUGUGCGUGACAACGUAUGCACGUUUUCUCUACCGAAGAAAUUAAGGUUUUAUCGGUUGCCAUUCGCGGAACGCGUAUUGCGUGAGUUUGAUGGAAAUCGUUGACCUCGCGAGAAGUUGACCGAGUUACGUGCGUGAAUCACGAAAAAGGACGAUUGGUAUAUGUAUACGCGGCGAAUGUUUCACGAGUUUAGUUACGCGCUGACGUGAAUGUUGUGAAACGAAGGUGAAGAAAGAAGAACCGACGAAGUCAGGCGGAAAGAAGAAGGAUCGAGUGGAACACGUCGUUGGGUAAAAAAAGUAGAGAGAAGGAUAAACUGGCGCGUAAGCGGACCAGGCAAGUAGAAGUUCGAGAGUAAGAGACAGACACGAACGAUAUAACUAAAUUCUUUGCACGUGGAACGAACGACGGAGAGUGUAAACGGGAACGGGAAGAAAGAUCGAAA